rnacentral:rRNA from 1 species
UACGAAGGGGGCGAGCGUUGUUCGGAUUUACUGGGCGUAAAGGGCGCGCAGGCGGCUAUCCAAGUCAGGCGUGAAAGCCCCGGGCUUAACCUGGGAGGUGCGUCUGGGACUGGGUGGCUAGAGUUCGGGAGAGGAGAGUGGAAUUCCCAGUGUAGAGGUGAAAUUCGUAGAUAUUGGGAAGAACACCGGUGGCGAAGGCGGCUCUCGUGGACCGAGACUGACG